rnacentral:sRNA from 1 species
GCUGGGCGCAGUGGUGCAUGCCUGUAAUCCCAGCGGCCUGGGAGGCUGGGACAGGAGAAUCACAAGUUCAAAGCCAGCCUCAGCAAAAGUGAGGUGCUAAGCAACCCAGUGAGACCCUGUCUCUA